UUCACCCUUAGCUGCAAGUACCGCUUUUCUAGGGGGCAAGAACCCCCCAACCCCUUCUCCUUCACCCUUAGCCACAAGUACCGCUUUUCUAGGGAGCAAGAACCCCCCAACCCCUUCUCUGCAUGUCUCUACCCCUUCUCUGCUUUUCUGGGGACAAGAACCCCCUGAUCCCUUAUUUCCAUGACUCGACCCCUUAUCUCUGUGCCCCAAUCCCUUAUUUCUGCACCCCAACCUCUUAUCUCUGUGCCCCGAUCCCUUAUUUCCAUGCCCCAACCUCUUAUCUCUGUGCCCUGAUCCCUUAUUUCCAUGCUCCGACCUCUUAUCUCUGCACCCCAACCCUUUAUUUCCGCACCCCGACCACUUUCCUGCUUUUCUGGAGGGUAAGAACCCCCAAACCCCUUCCCUCCGUGUCUCUCUCUUUUCUCUAGGCUUGCCUCCUUCAUUAUGGGCAACCUUCCACCCUCCAUUCCUCCUUCUUCUCCCUUAGCCUGUGUUCUUAAAAACCUAAAACCUCUUCAACUCACACCUGACCUAAAACCUAAAUGCCUUAUUUUCUUCUACAAUGCCGCUUGACCCCAAUACAAACUUGACAGCCGUUCCAAAUAGCCAGAAAAUGGCACUUUCAUUUUUUCCAUCCUACAAGAUCUAAAUAAUUCUUGUCGUAAAAUAGGCAAAUGGUCCGAGGUGCCUGACGUCCAGGCAUUCUUUUACACAUCAGUCCCUCCCUGGUCUCUGUUCCCAAUGCAACUCGUCCCAAAUCUUCCUUCUUUCCCUCCCACAUGUCCCCUCAGUCCCAACCCCAAGCGUCACUGAGUCUUUCUAAUCUUCCUUUUCUACUGACCCAUCUGACCUCUCCCUUCCUCGCAAGGCCGAGCUAGGUCAUAAUUCUUCCUCAGCCUCUGCUCCUCCACCCUAUAAUCCUUUUAUCACCUCCCCUCCUCACACCCGGUCUGGCUUACAGUUUCGUUCUGUGACUAGCCCUCCCCCACCUGCCCAGCAAUUUCCUCUUAAAAAGGUGGCUAGAGCUAAAGGCAUAGUCAAGGUUAAUGCUCCUUUUUUUAAUCCCAAAUCAGAGAGCGUUUAGGCUCUUUUUCAUCAAAUAUAAAAACCCAGCCCAGUACAUGACUCGUUUGACAGCAACCCUGAGACACUUUACAGCCCUAGACCCUAAAAGGUCAAAAGGUCGUCUUAUUCUCAAAAUACGUUUUAUUACCCAAUCUGCUCCUGACAUUAAAUAAAACUCCAAAAAUUAAAUUCCAGCCCUCAAACCCCACAACAGGACUUAAUUAACCUCACCUUCGAGGUGUACAAUAAUAGACUAGAGGCAGCCAAAUAGCAACAUAUUUCUCAGUUGCAAUUCUUUGCCUCCACUGUGAGACAAACCCCAGCCACAUCUCCAGCACACAAGAACUUCCAAACGCCUGAACCGCAGUGGCCAGGCGUUCCUCCAGGCCCGCCUCUCCCAGGAGCUUGCUACAAGUGCCAGAAAUCUGGCAACCAGGCCAAGGAAUGCCCACAGCCCAAGAUUCCUCCUAAGCCACGUCCCAUCUGUGCAGGACCCCACUGAAAAUCGGACUGUUCAACUCACCUGGCAGCCACUCCCAGAGCCCCUGGAACUCUGGCCCAAGGCGCUCUGACUGACUCCUUCCCAGAUCUUCUCAGCUUAGCAGCUGAAGACUGACGCUGCCCGAUCGCCUCAGAAGCCCCCUAGACCAUCACGGACGCCGAGCUUCAGGUGACUCUCACAGUGGAAGACAGGAAUGUCAUGCCUCUGAGCCCAAGCUAAGCCAUCAUAUCCCAUGUGACCUGCACGUACACAUCCAGAUGACUGGUUCCUGCCUUAACUGAUGACAUUCCACCACAAAAGAAAUGAAAAUGGCCUGUUCCUGCCUUAACUGAUGACAUUAUCUUCUGAAAUUCCUUCUCCUGGCUCAUCCUGACUCAAAAGCUCCCCUACUGAGCAUCUUGUGACCUCCACUCCUGCCCGCCAGAGAACAACCCCCCUUUGACUGUAAUUUUCCUUUACCUACCCAAAUCUUAUAAAAAGGCCCCACCCCUAUCUCCCUUCACUGACUCUCUUUUCAGACUCAGCCCGCCUGCACCCAGGUGAAAUAAACAGCUUUACUGCUCACACAAAGCCUGUUUGGUGGUCUCUUCUCACGGACGCGCAUGAAAAGUUUCCCUUGUUGUCUUGGAAUAAUACUCUAAAAACCCCUUCUUAAAGAUAGUCUGUGUUUUUCAGCUCUCAGUUGUACAGUGUGCCGGAGACUUUCAUACCCAGAGUACAAUUACAGGUGGGGAAAUAAAUGGUUAUCUUUACUAAAAUGAGAAGGGAGAGUGUGAAAGGUAAGAUUUAAACAAACAUCCACUUAAAAUCAUGGAUUCCUCCUCAAGAAGCUCAAAUUUGAAGAGUAUCUGAAAUAAAUGUAAGACCUAGAAAUUGAUUUAUAUGCUCUCAGUUUUGAAUUCCAGUUUUCAUUUUAUAUUUGGGAAGUUUCAGGUAGACAGGAAGUGGAAGCAGAGCCUCUAGUGUUUGUGGGGAGAAAAUAAAGCUAUUGAAGAGAUAAAGCUACAGUACUUCAUUUUUCCUCCCCCAGGCGGGAGAGGGAGGGCUUCAGAGACACUGGGAUUUGUACUGGAGGGAAGAAAAUUUAGGGGCAAGUUACAUCAUCUCUUGGGAAUACGGGGAUUGGGGGACACAUCGGAAUCUCUGGGAGCCUUUAGGAAAAACAUUGCAUGUCCUCACUUGCUCCAGGUGAUGGGAACAAGUGCUCAGCAGCAGCAGGAGGUAUCUGGAGGAGUAACUUGGUGCAGGGCUCCUGGCAACCAACUAGAGUAGACACUCUGCAAGAGAGAUCAGAGGGGACAUGAAGACCUUCCCCUACUGUCACAGAAACCAAAUAUCCUCUCCUCCCAUGCAUGCAACACCAACCCAAAAGAAACUAAAGACAGGACUCAAUUUAUAAGCCUGAACUGAGAUUAAUAGAUUGAGCUAAAUGUUUUUCUCCUCUUCUCCUCACCUCUCUCACACACACUGUGUGUGGGUGUGUUUGUGUGUGUGCUGUGGGAGGGGACACCCAAGAGGCAAUCAGAUCAUUCCAGGUAGAAAGAAAAAAAAUGAACUCUAUUUCCUCUGUACAUUUAAAUGUAAUGAAUAUAUUUGCAAUUCUAAUAUGUACUUUUAUUUUAAUCAUAUAAACUGUGUCUAGUUUUUUUUCUUUUAUUUAAGCUGUUCCCUCAAAUCCUUGUCUUUUUAAGAAAAAAGUCUCUUACUAUUUGCAAAUACUUUCAAAUACUAUUUGGGCACCUAAUGAAUGUGCAACAUUGUGCGAGAUGUUAACAAAUCUCCACGUGGGUUCCUAGCCUGGAGUGGAGGCCUGACUUAACUUCUGCUUCUGCUUAAACACACACACACACACACACACACACAAUAUAGCUUGACUCUGUAAUCUCAAAUUGGGCAUCUAGGGUGUGCCUUCUGGUAGAAACAGUGGAUGGUCAUAAUUCCUGUCAUUAAUUUCCAAUACCCCCGCCACACCCCCGCCCCCCCAACACACACACACAGACUACCAAGAAAACUGUUGAUCAGGCAAAAGAGAGACUUUAAACUUACUGCAGCUAGGUAGGGCAUUUUAAUAGAGUCAUCAGUGUCCCAACAGGAGAGUAUAGGGAAGGAUGUUUACAGGAUUUUUAGGCCUGAGCUGGGUGAUUUUAAGUCAAGUCCGGCAUGAAAGGGAACUGAUGUAGUUGGGCAAAAUCUUCAAGGACCCUUAAGGAGUAAUAUUUCAGACCUGAUAGAUAAGCUCUUUUAAUUGGCUCAGUCUCAUCUUCCAUGUGCAUGUAUUUUCUGGUGCGUCUGGUUAACUACAAACACAGGAAAGUAUUUCUGGUCCCAGUAUUGUUUAACAGUGAAUCAUUGGUUUCCAUUCUCAUUAGCAUUAAAAGACAGUUUUCAGAAAAGUGUAGAAUCAUGACUCUCACUGAUACAAGAAUAAACAUGUGUGAAAAGAUUGUAUUUUACUCAUUUAAUGAGAGAACCAGGUAGAUGUUAUAACCAGUUCUAAAGAGAAAGAGAAAAAGAACAAAUAUGUAUCGAGUAAAGAAAGUAAAUUGCAUGUGGAGACAAAACUGUUUUUUCCACCAGAGGGAGAGCAGUCAAUUAAAACUCUACUGAGCAGGACAAAAUUUGCCUGUCUAUCCAGUCAUAAAAUAGCUUAAAGAAAAUAAAAAGCUAGAAUCUUGUAACCAAGAAGGAUGGGCCAAAUAGAUACAAUGUAUACUUUUCUAUAGAAACAGAGCUUUUUCUAUAUUGGUAUGCUUUUAAAAAAAUUUAUUUUUUAUAUAUUUUUUAUUCUGUGUUUCAUUUGUAGAGAUGGGGUUUAGCUAUGUUGCCCAGGCUGGUCUUGAAUUCCUGGACUCAAGCCGUCUUCCUGCCUCGGCCUUCCAAAGUGCUGGGAUUACAAGCGUGAGCCACCAUGCCCAACCUACAUGA
rnacentral:lncRNA from 1 species